AAACCAGCGUCGAAACAGAAUGACAUAACCCGCCGAGUUUGCUGAAAUCACGUGACUGUGUACGCAGCUCGCCAAAACGGACAACAAAAAAAGUAAAAAUCCCAAUGCUGUUGGGUGUUGUAUAUUAACAAUUAUUUGACCAUCACUUUGCACAGUAUUGUGUAAAGCACUGGUUAGGUCUUGCACCAACCACGAGUGUGUGUUUUAGCUCGGCUCCUCGGGGUGUGUUCAAAGACAGCUGUUGGGUUAUAUAAAUAAUCGAUCCUGGAGAGCUCUUACCUGACAUGGCAUGUGUUGCAGCCUGACUUUCGUGACACCUACGGCGAAGAGGACCGGACUGGCUCCCUCGCAGCGACGUGGUCGGGUGCGGCUGUUACUGAGCACACCCCUCUGCUCAGGCAUCAGGUGAUACUUCAGUGCCUCGAUCAGCAGGUCUUUGCACUCGGAGUGGUGACGCACCAGCAGCUCUGUAUCCACAUUACUCAUCAGGAAGUCUCGUGUCAGCAGGGGCAGACGCACACACUUCAUCAGCUGAAGAGAGAAAUGGACGGAGAGUGAGAGCGCAGUUUGACGGGAGGAAUCACACCCACCCGGGGCACGUGUUGCCUCCGCCCGUCAAUGUCAUGUUUGACCCAGCUCAACACAGCCCUGUACACCUCCUCCUCUGAUGGGACAUUCAGGUUAUCACUGGAGAUCAGA